AGGCUUUGAAACACCAGUUGCCAUACGAUCACUGGAGUUAAGCAACAUCGACCCCGGUCAUUACUUAGAUGUGUGACCGCUUGGGAACAUCAGCUGAUGCAA